GGCUCAGAUUGAACGCUAGCGGCAUGCCUUACACAUGCAAGUCGAACGGCAGCACGGGGCAACCUGGUGGCGAGUGGCGAACGGGUGAGUAAUGCAUCGGAACGUGCCAUUGAGUGGGGGAUAACGUAGCGAAAGUUGCGCUAAUACCGCAUAUUCUGUGAGCAGGAAAGCAGGGGACCGCAAGGCCUUGCGCUCUUUGAGCGGCCGAUGUCAGAUUAGCUAGUUGGUGAGGUAACGGCUUACCAAGGCGACGAUCUGUAGCGGGUCUGAGAGGAUGAUCCGCCACGCUGGAACUGAGACACGGUCCAGACUCCUACGGGAGGCAGCAGUGGGGAAUUUUGGACAAUGGGCGCAAGCCUGAUCCAGCCAUGCCGCGUGAGUGAAGAAGGCCUUCGGGUUGUAAAGCUCUUUCGGCCGGGAAGAAAUCGCAUGGGUUAAUACCCUGUGUGGAUGACGGUACCGGAAUAAGAAGCACCGGCUAACUACGUG
rnacentral:rRNA from 1 species